GGUCAGUCAUGGUAGAUCUGAAAUUUGGUUUGAUGACCUCAAUAUGAGAAACUACAGACUGAUAGGAGGAACCAAAGAGCCCAGAAAAGGUAAAGGCAAAUCUUCAGAAGUCGGGAUAUAAUCAAUUUAAUUUCACAUAAUUAUCGGCGCAGAGAUUAUGUUAAAAACACAACAUUCAGUCAUUGCGAUGUUUCCAGGCUUGAUAUUUAUUCCUCGAUUAUUAAUAAGCCUCUCAUGAACAUAGCGGUGGUUGAGUAGCUCAUUUAAACUCCUGCUCUGCUCGUCAGUCGGUCUUUGAGUCGCUUUUUUUUUCUGUUAAUGGGAC